AUCGAACGCUGGCGGCAGGCCUAACACAUGCAAGUCGAGCGGAGCGGCGGACGGGUGAGCAAUGCCUAGGAAUCUGCCUGGUAGUGGGGGAUAACGUCCGGAAACGGGCGCUAAUACCGCAUACUAUCAGAUCAGCCUAGGUCGGAUUAGCUAGUGGGUGGGGUAAAGGCCUACCAAGGCGACGAUCCGUAACUGGUCUCAGAGGAUGAUCAGUCACACUGGAAUUGGGACACGGUCCAGACUCCUACGGGAGGCAGCAGUGGGGAAUAUUGGACAAGGGGCGAAAGCCUGAUCCAGCCAUGCCGCGUGUGUGAAGAAGGUCUUCGGAUUGUAAAGCACUUUAAGUUGGGAGGCGUUACCAACAGAAUAAGCACCGGCUAACUUCGUGCCAGCAGCCGCGGUAAUAC
rnacentral:rRNA from 1 species